CAAAACUCCUCUUGGACAGACAAACCAUGGGAACUGAGAGCUCUGCUUUUGCAACUGACCUCUCCUUGGCCCUGGGUAAAUGUCUUCAUUUUCUUCAGCAAGCAGGCAAAACGGAGACACUUACCCGCUGAGGAAGGGAAGAUUACUAGGUAGUGAAUGAACAAACUGUGGAAUGGGUAAACAGCACAGCCAUGCUAAUUAUUCUUAGCAGCUUUUAGUCCUUAAACAUGCUUUUUCACCCUGUGGCAAUGCUCGGCUGUCUUCCUCUGGUCCUGCAGUGUGGCGCAGUGCCGAGAUGUGAUUUACCACUGUCUGGAGUUGAAACGGAUGGAAAACAAAGCUUUUUUGCUAAAUGACCGACCACAAGCAGCCAUCUUUGACCCUUUCUCGUCCUCCUCCACCCUGAAAAGACCAACCAGAGAAAGGAAUACGAUGCAUGUAAAAUAUCCCCAGACCUGUAAGCAUCUCCCGCUCCCUCCUGAAUCCCAACCAUUAAUACCUGAUGUUAAAUCAACAAGCCACAAAGGAAAAUCCUGGCUACCAAGAAAUUAAUCUCCAAAUAUUGCCUGAUCCAGCAAAGAACAAAAACGGGGUGAAUGACCAUGGUGAUACCCCUCAGUCUGCAGCACGGUGAUGACUUUUAGGUUGGUCAAUGUUUGGUGCUUGCCACUUUGGCCAGUGUUUCCAGUGCUUCGUCAAUGCUUGGUAAAAUUGCCCUGCACAAACUGGAUGCAUGCAGAGCUCUAUCAAAGGGCUAGGAAGAGUCUGAGAUAUGAAAAAUGUUUUGCCAAUAGCAUAUUGUUUAUGCCCAAAUGCUGAAUGCUGUUGGGUUAUGCAUAUUUCAUUUUAAACGGCAGACAACGAUGGGGAUUCUUCAGAUGCUAAGAGCAUUUUAUAAGCUAAUGCUAAGAGCAUUUUAUAAGCAAAUGCUAAGAGCUUUUUAUAAGAAAGCCUUGAAGCUGAAAACCCACAGCCUCUAAGGGAAGCUCACAUCUGAACCCUUGCUUUCACGCUGAAGUAAAGUGACAAAUCCAAACACCCUCAAAGUGCAACAAAACGCAUGUUUGGGUUGCAAUUUAGCAUCUCAGCUCUCAUUCCUGCUGCAAAGCGUGUGUGCAGCCCUGUGCGCCGCCCCUUGCCGAUGCGGGCUGCUCGCAGCAGGAGGGCUCGGGCUCUCAUGCUUGUGUGACAGGGCUCCUGCUUCACCCCUGGAGUGCAGAUCCUUCCGAAAGAUAUGGGAUUUUCAGCCGAGGUUGUUUUACUCGGUGGGGAGAGGGAGGAAAGAGAACACAUGUUCCUCCCAGUCCCCUUUGCCACAGUACCGCUGCCAAAACUGCAGCAGCCACACAGAGUGCUGAGGAAACUUUUAAAACUUAAUUAGGGAAGAAAGCAAACAAAAUAAUACUAUAGUGUAUUUACUUAGAGCUGCAGCGCUGCCAGAGAAACCACAUAGCUUGCAUUUGUAAGCUGUGCUUCUCAUAUAAAAUACAUUUAAUUAAACCAGGAGACAGGACAACAAGCUUUCUUCUAGCUUUGUUUAAACACAUGUUUA
rnacentral:lncRNA from 1 species